AUUGAACGCUGGCGGCAUGCCUUACACAUGCAGGUCGAACGGUAACAGGUCUUCGGAUGCUGACGAGUGGCGAACGGGUGAGUAAUACAUCGGAACGUGCCUAGUAGUGGGGGAUAACUACUCGAAAGAGUGGCUAAUACCGCAUGAGAUCUACGGAUGAAAGCAGGGGAUAGCAAGACCUUGUGCUACUAGAGCGGCCGGUGGCAGAUUAGGUAGUUGGUGGGAUAAAAGCUUACCAAGCCGACGAUCUGUAGCUGGUCUGAGAGGACGAUCAGCCACACUGGGACUGAGACACGGCCCAGACUCCUACGGGAGGCAGCAGUGGGGAAUUUUGGACAAUGGGCGCAAGCCUGAUCCAGCAAUGCCGCGUGCAGGAUGAAGGCCUUCGGGUUGUAAACUGCUUUUGUACGGAACGAAAAGCCCUGGGUUAAUACCCUGGGGUCAUGACGGUACCGUAAGAAUAAGCACCGGCUAACUACGUGCCAGCCGCCGCCGUAAGAC
rnacentral:rRNA from 1 species